rnacentral:tRNA from 1 species
UGCAACAGCUUGUAAUCGAAACAAGAACCCAUGUGUGGGAAAAACACCGUGUUAUACCAUUUAACUACAGUUGC